rnacentral:rRNA from 1 species
AGAGCGAACGCUGGCGGCAGGCUUAACACAUGCAAGUCGAGCGCCCCGCAAGGGGAGCGGCAGACGGGAGAGUAACACGUGGGAACGUACCUUUCAGUUCGGGACAACCAAGGGAAACUUUGGCUAAUACCGGAUACGCCCGUAAGGGGAAAGAUUUAUCGCUGAAAGAUCGGCCCGCGUCUGAUUAGCUAGUUGGUGAGGUAAUGGCUCACCAAGGCUACGAUCAGUAGCUGGUCUGAGAGGACGACCAGCCACAGGGGAACUGAGACACGGUCCCCACACCUACGGGUGGCAGCAGCGAGGGAUUUUCGGCAAUGGGCGCAAGCCUGACCGAGCAACGCCGCGUGCGGGACGACGCCCUUCGGGUGUAAACCGCUUUCGGUGGGACGAUGAUGACGGUACCACCGGAAUAAGCCUCGGCUAACUACGUGCCAGCAGCCGC